CAGGAUGGACCCGCGUCUGAUUAGCUAGUUGGUAAGGUAACGGCUUACCAAGGCGACGAUCAGUAGCCGACCUGAGAGGGUGAUCGGCCACAUUGGAACUGAGACACGGUCCAAACUCCUACGGGAGGCAGCAGUGGGGAAUAUUGCACAAUGGGCGAAAGCCUGAUGCAGCAACGCCGCGUGAGUGAUGAAGGCCUUCGGGUCGUAAAACUCUGUCCUCAAGGAAGAUAAUGACGGUACUUGAGGAGGAAGCCCCGGCUAACUACGUGCCAGCAGCCGCGGUAAUACGUAGGGGGCUAGCGUUAUCCGGAUUUACUGGGCGUAAAGGGUGCGUAGGCGGUCUUUCAAGUCAGGAGUGAAAGGCUACGGCUCAACCGUAGUAAGCUCUUGAAACUGGGAGACUUGAGUGCAGGAGAGGAGAGUGGAAUUCCUAGUGUAGCGGUGAAAUGCGUAGAUAUUAGGAGGAACACCAGUUGCGAAGGCGGCUCUCUGGACUGUAACUGACGCUGAGGCACGAAAGCGUGGGGAGCAAACAGGAUUAGAU
rnacentral:rRNA from 1 species